rnacentral:rRNA from 1 species
GAUUAAGUUAUUAAGGGCGCACGGUGGAUGCCUUGGCACUAGAAGCCGAUGAAGGACGUUACUAACGACGAUAUGCUUUGGGGAGCUGUAAGUAAGCUUUGAUCCAGAGAUUUCCGAAUGGGGAAACCCAGCAUGAGUUAUGUCAUGUUAUCGAUAUGUGAAUACAUAGCAUAUCAGAAGGCACACCCGGAGAACUGAAACAUCUUAGUACCCGGAGGAAGAGAAAGAAAAUUCGAUUCCCUUAGUAGCGGCGAGCGAAACGGGAAGAGCCCAAACCAACAAGCUUGCUUGUUGGGGUUGUAGGACACUCUAUACGGAGUUACAAAGGACGACAUUAGACGAAUCAUCUGGAAAGAUGAAUCAAAGAAGGUAAUAAUCCUGUAGUCGAAAAUGUUGUCUCUCUUGAGUGGAUCCUGAGUACGACGGAGCACGUGAAAUUCCGUCGGAAUUUGGGAGGACCAUCUCCUAAGGCUAAAUACUCUCUAGUGACCGAUAGCGAACCAGUACCGUGAGGGAAAGGUGAAAAGCACCCCGGAAGGGGAGUGAAAUAGAACCUGAAACCGUGUGCUUACAAGUAGUCAGAGCCCGUUAAUGGGUGAUGGCGUGCCUUUUGUAGAAUGAACCGGCGAGUUACGAUUUGAUGCAAGGUUAAGCAGUAAAUGUGGAGCCGUAGCGAAAGCGAGUCUGAAUAGGGCGUUUAGUAUUUGGUCGUAGACCCGAAACCAGGUGAUCUACCCUUGGUCAGGUUGAAGUUCAGGUAACACUGAAUGGAGGACCGAACCGACUUACGUUGAAAAGUGAGCGGAUGAACUGAGGGUAGCGGAGAAAUUCCAAUCGAACCUGGAGAUAGCUGGUUCUCUCCGAAAUAGCUUUAGGGCUAGCCUCAAGUGAUGAUUAUUGGAGGUAGAGCACUGUUUGGACGAGGGGCCCCUCUCGGGUUACCGAAUUCAGACAAACUCCGAAUGCCAAUUAAUUUAACUUGGGAGUCAGAACAUGGGUGAUAAGGUCCGUGUUCGAAAGGGAAACAGCCCAGACCACCAGCUAAGGUCCCAAAAUAUAUGUUAAGUGGAAAAGGAUGUGGCGUUGCCCAGACAACUAGGAUGUUGGCUUAGAAGCAGCCAUCAUUUAAAGAGUGCGUAAUAGCUCACUAGUCGAGUGACACUGCGCCGAAAAUGUACCGGGGCUAAACAUAUUACCGAAGCUGUGGAUUGUCCUUUGGACAAUGGUAGGAGAGCGUUCUAAGGGCGUUGAAGCAUGAUCGUAAGGACAUGUGGAGCGCUUAGAAGUGAGAAUGCCGGUGUGAGUAGCGAAAGACGGGUGAGAAUCCCGUCCACCGAUUGACUAAGGUUUCCAGAGGAAGGCUCGUCCGCUCUGGGUUAGUCGGGUCCUAAGCUGAGGCCGACAGGCGUAGGCGAUGGAUAACAGGUUGAUAUUCCUGUACCACCUAUAAUCGUUUUAAUCGAUGGGGGGACGCAGUAGGAUAGGCGAAGCGUGCGAUUGGAUUGCACGUCUAAGCAGUAAGGCUGAGUAUUAGGCAAAUCCGGUACUCAUUAAGGCUGAGCUGUGAUGGGGAGAAGACAUUGUGUCUUCGAGUCGUUGAUUUCACACUGCCGAGAAAAGCCUCUAGAUAGAAAAUAGGUGCCCGUACCGCAAACCGACACAGGUAGUCAAGAUGAGAAUUCUAAGGUGAGCGAGCGAACUCUCGUUAAGGAACUCGGCAAAAUGACCCCGUAACUUCGGGAGAAGGGGUGCUCUUUAGGGUUAACGCCCAGAAGAGCCGCAGUGAAUAGGCCCAAGCGACUGUUUAUCAAAAACACAGGUCUCUGCUAAACCGUAAGGUGAUGUAUAGGGGCUGACGCCUGCCCGGUGCUGGAAGGUUAAGAGGAGUGGUUAGCUUCUGCGAAGCUACGAAUCGAAGCCCCAGUAAACGGCGGCCGUAACUAUAACGGUCCUAAGGUAGCGAAAUUCCUUGUCGGGUAAGUUCCGACCCGCACGAAAGGCGUAACGAUUUGGGCACUGUCUCAACGAGAGACUCGGUGAAAUCAUAGUACCUGUGAAGAUGCAGGUUACCCGCGACAGGACGGAAAGACCCCGUGGAGCUUUACUGUAGCCUGAUAUUGAAAUUCGGCACAGCUUGUACAGGAUAGGUAGGAGCCUUUGAAACGUGAGCGCUAGCUUACGUGGAGGCGCUGGUGGGAUACUACCCUAGCUGUGUUGGCUUUCUAACCCGCACCACUUAUCGUGGUGGGAGACAGUGUCAGGCGGGCAGUUUGACUGGGGCGGUCGCCUCCUAAAAGGUAACGGAGGCGCUCAAAGGUUCCCUCAGAAUGGUUGGAAAUCAUUCAUAGAGUGUAAAGGCAUAAGGGAGCUUGACUGCGAGACCUACAAGUCGAGCAGGGUCGAAAGACGGACUUAGUGAUCCGGUGGUUCCGCAUGGAAGGGCCAUCGCUCAACGGAUAAAAGCUACCCCGGGGAUAACAGGCUUAUCUCCCCCAAGAGUUCACAUCGACGGGGAGGUUUGGCACCUCGAUGUCGGCUCAUCGCAUCCUGGGGCUGUAGUCGGUCCCAAGGGUUGGGCUGUUCGCCCAUUAAAGCGGUACGCGAGCUGGGUUCAGAACGUCGUGAGACAGUUCGGUCCCUAUCCGUCGUGGGCGUAGGAAAUUUGAGAGGAGCUGUCCUUAGUACGAGAGGACCGGGAUGGACAUACCUCUGGUGUACCAGUUGUCGUGCCAACGGCAUAGCUGGGUAGCUAUGUGUGGACGGGAUAAGUGCUGAAAGCAUCUAAGCAUGAAGCCCCCCUCAAGAUGAGAUUUCCCAACUUCGGUUAUAAGAUCCCUCAAAGAUGAUGAGGUUAAUAGGUUCGAGGUGGAAGCAUGGUGACAUGUGGAGCUGACGAAUACUAAUCGAUCGAAGACUUAAUCAA